rnacentral:rRNA from 1 species
GCAUCUGCCGUGAUGGGAUACGACUGGAACGGUCGCUAAUACCCAAUAUGCCGAGAGGUGAAACUUAUAUGGCCAGAGGAUGAGCUCGCGUCUGAUUAGCUAGUUGGAGUGGUAACGGCACACCAAGGCGACGAUCAGUAGCUGGUCUGAGAGGAUGAUCAGCCACACUGGGACUGAGACACGGCCCAGACUCCUACGGGAGGCAGCAGUGGGGAAUUUUCCGCAAUGGGCGAAAGCCUGACGGAGCAAGACCGCGUGAGGGAGGAAGGCCUACUGGUUGUAAACCUCUUUUGAUAGGGAAGAAGAAAGUGACGGUACCUAUCGAAUCAGCAUCGGCUAACUCCGUGCCAGCAGCCGCGGUAAUACGGAGGAUGCAAGCGUUAUCCGGAAUUAUUGGGCGUAAAGCGUCCGUAGGUGGUUAUUCAAGUCAGCUGUCAAAGGAUGGAGCUUAACUCCAUAAAGGCAGUUGAAACUGUGUAGCUAGAGUGCGAUAGGGGCAAGGGGAAUUCCCAGUGUAGCGGUGAAAUGCGUAGAUAUUGGGAAGAACAUCGGUGGCGAAAGCGCCUUGCUGGGUCUGCACUGACACUGAGGGACGAAAGCUAGGGGAGCGAAAGGGUUAACCCCCUCUCUUUUUACACACAAAG